rnacentral:rRNA from 1 species
UACGGAGGAUGCGAGCGUUAUCCGGAUUCAUUGGGUUUAAAGGGUGCGUAGGCGGACUAUUAAGUCAGUGGUGAAAUCCUGCAGCUUAACUGCAGAACUGCCAUUGAUACUGAUAGUCUUGAGUUUGGUUAAGGUAGGCGGAAUGUGUAAUGUAGCGGUGAAAUGCUUAGAUAUUACACAGAACACCAAUUGCGUAGGCAGCUUACUGAGCCGACACUGACGCUGAGGCACGAAAGCGUGGGGAUCGAACAGGAUUAGAUACCCUGGUAGUCCACGCCGUAAACGAUGAUUACUCGCUGUUGGCGAUACACUGUCAGCGGCUAAGCAAAAGCAAUAAGUAAUCCACCUGGGGAGUACGGCCGCAAGGUUGAA